CUUAAAUGGUUUUUCAUAUCUGUAGGAAUUAUUACUCUGUUUAGAAGCUGGAAGAUAGGUAGAUAAUAGUGCUAUUGUGUAAGCAUGUAAAGUUUUUGUGUCAUUUCUAUUCCUGCUUCUCUACAACCAGAAAUUGAUUAUUAAUACUGCACAGGGAAGAGCCUCUGAACGUAUAGAUCUACCCCAUCUGAUAUGGAGACCUUAAAACUGGAAUUUUCAAACCCCAGCUGAUUAGCAUCAGGAGAGCUGCCAAAAUGAGCUGACACAAGUGCAGCACUGUCUUCUCCCUACAUAUGUCUUGGAUCAUGAGGCAUAGCAGCAUUUGAGCUUCAGAAUGGUGCUUGAAGAGCAUGCUUCAUGGGGAUAUGAGCAUGAUAUUUGAGAACCCAUCAGUCAAUGCAAAUAAGGUAAAAAAUACCUUCCACU
rnacentral:lncRNA from 1 species